rnacentral:rRNA from 1 species
UAGCCGUAAACGAUACUCGCUAGGUGUCGGCCACGGUGCGACCGUUGUCGGUGCCGUAGGGAAGCCGUGAAGCGAGCCACCUGGGAAGUACGGCCGCAAGGCUGAAACUUAAAGGAAUUGGCGGGGGAGCACCACAACGGGUGGAGCUUGCGGUUCAAUUGGAUUCAACGCCGGACAACUCACCAGGAGCGACGGUUACAUGAAGGCCAGGCUGAUGACCUUGCCUGAUUUUCCGAGAGGUGGUGCAUGGCGUAGUCGUGU